CAGUGAAAGGGUCCUCCCUCAUAGUGACGCAUGUCGUAGACACAGAUUUAUACAAACAAACGCUGAGCAAACCAUGAAGAGUCUCUGGUAUUUGCAACAAUAUCGUCACAGAGGAACUAUAUUGAUUUCCUUGAACUUUUCACAUGUAGAGGAGCCUUUAGAAUGAAGCCUUGAGUAUGAGGGGCAGACUCCCCUCAUCCAACCACCACCUGACUCUGUGUGAACCUGGAACUGUUAGAAUGUCUGUGCUGUGAUAAAAGGUCAUCUCCCUUCAAUGUUGUGAUACAGACCUCAAACCUACAAACAUGAGGAAUUUCUACCUCUAGGUUAACUGGUUACCCACUGUACAAGACAAGUUACACACAGUCCAGGAGGCGGAGUUUCUGAGAUAUCUAGAAACAGCUUAGAGGCAAAAUGACAAAACAAAGCAGCAACAACAAAUAAAACCAAUCUUCUCGAACUGGC
rnacentral:lncRNA from 1 species